UACGAAGGGUGCAAGCGUUACUCGGAAUUACUGGGCGUAAAGCGUGCGUAGGUGGUGAGUUAAGUCUGUCGUGAAAGCCCCGGGCUCAACCUGGGAAUGGCGAUGGAUACUGGCUCGCUAGAGUGCGGUAGAGGAGAGUGGAAUUCCCGGUGUAGCAGUGAAAUGCGUAGAGAUCGGGGAGGAACAUCAGUUGCGGAAGGCGGCUCUCUGGACCAGCACUGACACUGAGGCACGAAAGCGUGGGGAGCAAACAGG
rnacentral:rRNA from 1 species